CAUUUUCAAGCUGACAAAACUAGGGUGACAGAGAUUUUUCUCAAGAUCACACCAGAGCUGGAACAGAAAUCCACGGGGUCUCUCCACUAAAGGAGGGAUCUCCAUUUUUCUCAGAUUGCAAAACUGAGACUCAGGGGGAGAAAAGGAGGUGAUAUUCCAAUGCAACACAACAAAUGGGAUCUAAGCCUCAGCCUCCAGCUCAGCGGUGCUGCCUCCAUCAUUUGAAUGCUUCCACUCCCAGCAAGCACAAUGCUCACUGUUGAGCUGAACUCUCCACCCUAGGGACAGAAGGCUCGGAAAUGCUCCAGACAGGAAGAUCUCUGUGGCUGGAUGGAGGCCACAAGGACAGGGAGGCUUGAAGUAUACCCAGAGAUCCUCAAAGGAAUUCCCUAGUCAUUGUGUUAAGAGAGCUGGAGGGAAAGGUGGCAGAGGUCCAGCUCCCAGUCCGCAUCUGAAUUGUAUACUGAUUAGAAUCUGCUUCAUCCCUUGGAAAAUCACUCUCCGUGGAAUGCUGAAGUGUCAGUACCAACAGCUUUGCCAAAUUAUGAGGGGAGAGUAGAGAAUGAGUUUCAUGGCAUCUAAACUGCUUUCUCAAAAUAGUGGCGUAAGAUCUGUAGAAGUAAUAUAGUACUGGAAAAUGACAGGGUGGAAAAAUGAACCAUAUUUGAGCAGGCAUGAACUUAUUAAUUUAUCUACAUAUGGCCUGUUUCACAACUUUCCCUACAGAAAUUAGGGGCAGAAAUUAAGUUGAUCUGAAUUGCUAAUGAAAUAUAAUUCUAGACUCAGAAGAUUCUUCUAGAAAGUUUGGCCCUGAGGCUACAAGAUCUUAUUCCCCAUACUCUUUUAUAACAUCUCUCUGGUGAUUAUUUAAAAAAUGUUUAUCUAUAAUACAUCAGGUUCCCAAAGUAUAUAAACUAAAAGAGCUAGCUCCCUAAAGAAAACAUUAAUUUCCUCAGACCAAUAGGACAUUAACUUAGUAAAUUAUGAUAGCAAUUUUUCAGGGUCAGAAUGGCAUUUUGAAUUUAUUAUUUUUUCCCCAACAUUUUAUUAUGAAAAUUCUCAAACAUACAGCAAAGUUGAAAGAAUUUUAUAGUGGG